rnacentral:lncRNA from 1 species
CAAUGUAGGAUACAUAAAAUUCAGGGCUUUGAAAGUUCUUUUAAAGCUCUCUUAAAGACUUUCUUUUACUCCUUUAAAGAUCAUAGCAUCAAAAUCAAUUAAAAUGAAUUGGCUCAGGAUUGAAACACUAAAGUGCAAGCCAAUAAGAACUCAUAAGUAGAUUCCAAGAUAAAUUUUCGAUACUAAGACAGAUGGAAUCCUUUUCCAUUAAUUUUCAGAAAUAAAUGAUUUACCGAUGAAUAUAGAUGGAAAUCCAACUUUCAAAAGAUAUUCAAUGAAGCACAAAGUUUAAUACCACUUUACAUUUAGUAUUCUUUGUCUCAUCUUUAGAUGCGAAUUUAUACGAUUAAGUUCUAUAUGAUCUCUUCCUCUGAAAUUUUCUUUCUUCCUCUUAAUUAAUCAUUCCAUUUGAGAGUUUAGAGUUUGAAGAUAAUUUUCAAUAAAGAGAUUGAGUAUUUAAAGCUCCCCCUCAAAAGAUGUAUUUUCUUUCAAACUUCUUUUUUUUUUGUUCUUCUAUAAUAUCAAGAAUGUAGAGUGAUCCAGAAUUUUUCAAAAUUUAUAGCAAUCACUCUUUUUAAUCUUUCAAGAAUAAAUUAUAUUUUCUCUUAUUUUUUUGAAUAUGUAUGGAAAUAUUAAUCAGAAAAUAAUUCUUUUGAAGCUCAAAUUUUUUUCAAAAGUAAUUACAUUUUCUUUCCUAUAAGAAUUAUUGAAGUGAGUUGAAAUAUUUUAAGCUUUAGGAUC